rnacentral:rRNA from 1 species
CGUGUAGGCGGUUUUGUAAGCCUGGUGUUAAAGGCUCUGGCUUAACCAGAGUUGAGCGCUGGGAACUGCGAGACUUGAGUUUUGGAGGGGGAGCUGGAAUUCCAGGUGUAGGGGUGAAAUCUGUAGAUAUCUGGAAGAACACCGGUGGCGAAGGCGAGCUCCUGGCCAUGGACUGACGCUGAGGCGCGAAAGCGUGGGGAGCGAACA